GCGCCCUCCACUUUCUCAGGAGACUCUGGGCACCUAACUGCUCCCGCGGAGUCCGGAGAAGACGAGGGAGGAGGUGGGGCUACGGCUGCACAUGCGCAGAGGGAGCCCGGAAUCCCCUUCCCAGAGCGCCGCGCGGGGAGCCGGAAGGAGUCAAGACUACGUUUCCCGUAGGCCUCCGCGUCCACUGUUGAGGUCGCUGUUUAAGCGCCCCCGCUUGUCAGGAACCUGGGGAGUGAUGUUCUCUCCGAGCCCGAACCCGAGCCCGAAGAGGUUAAGGGUUAAACCUGAGCUCUGCCGCCAAACGCGAGGGGUGGUCCUCUAUUGGCUCACGAUUGAAAUAGCAUUUUUUUUGGACACAUUGGUUAUAUUACCAAGGCUUUGACUGGAAUGCCGUAUAUUUGAGAGAAACAUACAGGCUCAGAUAUGACAAGACAGCUUUUCAGGAACACAGAUUGGACUUUCUGGAAUAAAGCCACUUGGAAAUAUUGGCCUGGCACCUUGUUUACAGAGAUUCCAGCAAUCUUACCUGGUGGAAACAUCCAGAAGCCCACCCUGGGUCAUAGGCGGUUGCUGUUUCCCACUGCCCCACCCUCUGGAGC
rnacentral:lncRNA from 1 species